GACGAACGCUGGCGGCGUGCUUAACACAUGCAAGUCGAGCGGUAAGGCCCUUUCGGGGGUACACGAGCGGCGAACGGGUGAGUAACACGUGGGUGACCUGCCUUUAGCUCUGGGAUAAGCCUGGGAAACCGGGUCUAAUACCGGAUAUGACUCCGCGGCGCAUGUUGUGGGGUGGAAAGCCUUGUGCGGCUGGAGAUGGGCCCGCGGCCUAUCAGCUUGUUGGUGGGGUGAUGGCCUACCAAGGCGACGACGGGUAGCCGGCCUGAGAGGGCGACCGGCCACACUGGGACUGAGACACGGCCCAGGCUCCUACGGGAGGCAGCAGUGGGGAAUCUUGCGCAAUGGGCGAAAAGCCUGACGCAGCGACGCCGCGUGAGGG
rnacentral:rRNA from 1 species